rnacentral:hammerhead_ribozyme from 1 species
UAUUGGUCGAGAGUUGUUGCCGCUUUCCUCAUGAGUCCAAGACAAAAUGAAACCAGUG